GCUGGGCAUAGUGGCGCAUGCCUGUAAUCCCAGCUACUCGGGAGGCUGAGGCAGGAGAAUUGCUUGAACCUGGGAGGCAGAGGUUGCAGUGAGCCAAGAUUACACCACUGCACUCCAACCUGGGUGACAGAGCAAGACUCUGUCUCAG
ensembl:misc_RNA Metazoa_SRP Metazoan signal recognition particle RNA